rnacentral:rRNA from 1 species
CCUACGGGAGGCAGCAGUGAGGAAUAUUGGUCAAUGGACGAGAGUCUGAACCAGCCAAGUAGCGUGAAGGAUGACUGCCCUAUGGGUUGUAAACUUCGUUUAUAGGGGAAUAAAACAAUGCACGUGUGGGAUGUUGUAUGGACCAUAUGAAUAAGGAUCGGCUAACUCCGUGCCAGCAGCCGCGGUAAUACGGAGGAUCCGAGCGUUAUCCGGAUUUAUUGGGGUUAAAGGGUGCGUAGGUGGAUUGUUAAGGCAGUUGUGAAAGUUUGCGGCUCAACCGUAAAAGUGCAGUUGAAACUGGCAGUCUUGAGUACAGUAGAGUUGGGCGGAAUUCGUGGUGUAGCGG